rnacentral:misc_RNA from 1 species
CCUUGCAAAAGUAGCGAAAUCCUGUACUAAAUCGGGCAGCGGGUUGAGUUGAACUGAAUACACGUGAUAGACAUUAACAAACUCUUUGUUGCACUUACCAAUAACACUUGUGCAAGAGAAAUGCUCCAACAUAACAAUACUAACUGCCACACUCUUGCACUCGCAGUGAAUCACAUAGUUUAACGCUCUCACUUUACCUCACACUGAAUCUCUUGGAGCCUAAGGCCAAAUUGCAGACCUACCAGAGGUCGACGUUGGUCAUGGAAGAAGCUUUCCCCUUGUCAACAAACAAUUAGAUAUUUCGAUUGACAGAUGUGAAUAAACAGAAUCGCUAGGGAGAUAGAAAAAUAUGAGGAGAUUCUAGAGAGGAAGGAAGUGGGUAAUUUUCACACAGCAAGUAGGGUUGAAAUUCUGAAAAAUUACAAGGUUUCAUAUUCUCAAUCAGCAAGUAUCAUCUUUAAUUAUUGCAGAAAUAGUGGAUUCUUCACAUCAAACAGUGCUAUUACAAUCUCAAAAUGAACAGGGAGGGAACUUCAAGUCCAAAGGAUCUAAAGUUGGGAGAGAAGUUCAACCGACUCUUGGCGUGGACUGCACAAAGCAACCAAGGGCUUAGCCUUAGAAAGCGAGAUUCUAUAAUUGUAGCUCAUGUCCACUUUCUCUAACCCAUCCUUUUCCCAUUCAAAGCACUGAAUAAGCACACCCAAUGCCAAUGAAACCAUGCGCAUGCCCAUGCCAGCACCGGGACAUGCUCUCCUCCCUGCACCAAAAGGAAUAUACUUGAAGCCAUGUUGUUCCCCUAAAUGUCCCUCAAAUCUUUCAGGCUUGAACUCAUUGGGAUUCUCCCAAACUUUGGGGUCCCUAUGCAUCGCCCAAACAUUCACCAACAGUAUUGUGUCCCUUGGGAUCUCAAAUUCUCCGACUGUGCAACUUUCAGAUGACAAAUGAGGUAACAUAAGGGGUCCUGCAGGAUAUAAUCUAAGUGUCUCAUUUAUGACACACCGGAGGUAGGGAAGCUUGACAAGAUCCAAAUCAUUCAGCAAUUGCCCAUGUCCAACAUGGUGAUCAAUCUCUGCUUUCACUCUCUGUAAUGCGUCUGGAUUAUCCAAGAGGAGUGACAUUACCCAUUCCAAAGUGACUGCUGAUGUUUCUGCUCCGGCGAUGAACAUCAUCACCAUAAUACUUUUGAUAACUUCGUCUGUGUAAAAUUCAGGUUCUAAUUCUUGCAGGGACAGUAGAGUUUCAACCAGAGACCUUUUCUCUUCCUCAUCUGAUGUUUUGGAAUUGAUUCUCUUUAGUUUAACUUCGUCUAACAAAUUUUGCAAAAAUUUAUCUCUCAUGUUAUUCAUCUUUAUCAUGCUCUUCUCUAUCCCUUUGAAACCAAUCAUCCUCAAGACUGGGAUAAAAUCACAGAUAUUCAAGGAGAGGCUUGGAAAGAACGUCUCCUUGAAUUCUCGAAAUAAUUGCUUCUCCAACUCUGAAUCCUCAGUCUCCACUUCCACACAACGUUUUCCGACGGUCAUUCUCAUCAUCACAUUGCAGGUUAGAAGAGAAAAUAGAAACUUCAAAUCCACCUUUCGCUUGCCACCAGUUGAGACCCUAAACAGUCGGCAGAGUAGCAUACCAACUUCAUCCUCACGGAUGGCAGAAGUUUUCUGGAGGCUCUUCGAACAGAAGACUUCAACAACAGUGAGUCGCCGUAGGAUCCGCCAAAAAUCACCGUAAGGUGCCCAAACAAAGGCAGAAUAGUUGUAGGUGAAAUGAUCCCCAGCCAUGGACUGGGGUCGGUUUGCAAAUAUUAUAUCAUUCUUGGUUAAGCAUUCUUCAACUGCGGAUGGUGAAGAAACUACAAUAACAGAUCGGGAACCAAAUUUUAGGGAUAGAAUUGGACCGUAUUGUGACAGGAGAGUCUGUAGCGCCAGGGGAAGUGGCUUCCGGAUGAGGUGG